rnacentral:rRNA from 1 species
UACGUAGGUGGCAAGCGUUAUCCGGAAUUAUUGGGCGUAAAGAGCGCGCAGGUGGUUAAUUAAGUCUGAUGUGAAAGCCCACGGCUUAACCGGAGUAGUGCAUUGGAAACUGGGAGACUUGAGUGCAGAAGAGGAGAGUGGAACUCCAUGUGUAGCGGUGAAAUGCGUAGAUAUAUGGAAGAACACCAGCGGCGAAAGCGGCUCUCUGGUCUGUAACUGACGCUGAGGUUCGAAAGCGUGGGUAGCAAACAGG